UACGGGGGGAGCAAGCGUUGUUCGGAUUUACUGGGCGUAAAGGGCGCGUAGGCGGCCUCCGCACGUCAGUUGUGAAAUCUCCGAGCUUAACUCGGAAAGGUCAACUGAUACUGCGGGGCUAGGGUGCGGAAGGGGCAACUGGAAUUCUUGGUGUAGCGGUGAAAUGCGUAGAUAUCAAGAGGAACACCUGCGGCGAAGGCGGGUUGCUGGGCCGACACUGACGCUGAGGCGCGAAAGCUAGGGGAGCGAACGGG
rnacentral:rRNA from 1 species